ACAGUAGAUGCCCUUACAAAGCCACGUACUGGCGGGAUCAGCAGCACCUGGGAGCCUGCUGGCAUGAGAUUCUUGGAUGUGCCUUGCACCUGCCAAGUCAGAAUGUCUAGAGGAAGGACAGACCAGCGGGGAGGACCCCCCCGGGCCCUUCCCCAGUGCAACCUGAGGCCUGAAUCCCGUCAACAUCAGACCCGGGCGCCUGGCUUCCCUAUCAAAGUGGACGUGUUGUGAGGGCAGAGGAUGCUGACGAGUAAAGCUGCUGUGGGCAACGGGCUCUCCCUGGCAGGCUGGGUGGGCAGGAGGGAGUGGUGGGGACUGCGGCAUGUGGAGAGCACACGGUGGUUCUGAGAGGGGCUGCUGCUACCCCACUGGGCGGGAGAGAGAGGGAGAGGGAGCCCUCUGCUGCCAGAUCUUUGGAUCUAUUUGUUUUUAUUUUUGUUUUUUUUGAGACAGAGUCUCCCUCUGUGGCCCAGGCUGGAGUGCAGUGGUGUGAUCUUGGCUCACUGCAACCUCCAAGUCCCUGGUUCAAGCGAUUCUCCUGCCUCAGCCUCCCAAGUAGCUGGGGUUACAGGCACGCGCCACCAUGCCCGGGGAAUUUUUGUAUUUUUAGUAGAUACGGGGUUUCACCGUGUUGGCUAGGAUGGUCUCGAUCUCCUGACCUCGUGAUCCGCCCGCCUCAGCCUCCCAAAGUGCUGGGAUUACAGGUGUGAGCCACCGCGCCUGGCCUGGAAUUUUAAAGAAAAGAUAGAAAUAUAGAGGUUCAGGUAGAGUGUCCCAACAUUCAGGUGUUGUCAAGUAAUUUUUUUUUUUUUUUGAGAUGGAGUCUCACUCUGUUGCCAGGGCUGGAGUGCAGUAGCGUGAUCUCAGUUCACUGCAACCUCCGCCUCCCGGGUUCAAGUGAUUCUCCUGCCUCAGUCUCCCGAGUAGCUGAGAUUACAGGUGCUCGCCACCACGCUCGGCUAAUUUUUGUAUUUUUAGUAGAGACGGGAUGUCACCAUGUUGGCCAGGCUGUUCUCGAACUCCUGACUUCAGAUGAUCCACCUGCCUUGGCCUCCCAAAGUGCUGGGAUUACAGGCAUAAAACGCUGCACCUGGCCUUGCCAAGUAAUUUUUUAAGUUUUACACAUUGUGCAGCGGGGAAGACACAUCUGUGGGCCAAAACCCUGGCGGCUCUCCCCGCUCACUCUCCGAGUUACCUGGCAUAUUAUAUACCACCUCCCCCCAGUCUCAGUUUCUUUAUCUGCAGGAAGGAGAAUAAGGGAGUAUAAUCAUAGCAGCUUUGCUGAGAAGAUAAGCUCGCUGGCGCUGGCGAAGGCCUGGAAUGCCUUCCCACGUGUAAUAGGCGGGGAAGAUGCAUUUCCCUGCCCCUGCCUUACAGCCCAGCCACAACCCUGCGGUCACAUACGGAACUCGCUGCGUGCCCGAAAGCAGUGACUAAGCCAGCGCUGGGAAACGGUGGGCCCUGCAGUGUCCUGCAGAUGUGUUCUGUUCUCUCUCACGUGAUGGACAACUAUGGACACAGGAGCCGGCGGCCACAGCAGGGGCUUUUGUCUGUGUGUCCUUCGUCCCAGCGUCUGCUUUAAUUCAGAACGACACCAGCAGCCCUGAACUUCCAUUCACUGUUCUCUCCAAAGAGCCUCUCUGAGGCCAGGCGUGCUGGUGCGCGCCUGUAAUCCCAGCUACUCAGCUACUCGGGAGGCUGAGGCAGGAGAAUCGCUUGAACCCAGGAGGUGGAAGUUGCAGUGAGCUGAGAUUGCACUAUUGCACGCCAGCCUGAGCAACAAGAGGCGGACUACGUCUAAGGAAAAAAAAGCCCCUUUGAGGCCUCACAAAUCUCCCUUGCAUCCAACGGGAAGCAGGAUUUAGUGCAUUCUACCCUCCUCCCACGGCCGCUGCCUCCGGUCCUCCCCGCCUGGCAAGGGGCAUUUAACACGGCGCACAGACCUGAAUGUACACAGAACCGAAAAGCCACUGAUGCCACAGAGGAGGCGCUCAUCUAUGCAGGAGACACAGGCUUCCCUGGCUCACAGAGACACAGGAUGUGGGAAGAGAGGGUAAUUUUAGGUUCUGUUUGCUGAGCUGCACCAACGGGCCCAUCAACAAUGAAACAUCCGCGUUGAACUCAGCGUGUGUCACCCAACAAAAGGAUGGGCUCAUUGCCACCUGCACUGAGGCGACACCACCUGGGUGCUGAACAGGCUUCCAGUCUCCACACAGCCGACCCUGGUGCACAGCAAGAUUGGAUGGUGCCGCCCACAUCGAGGUGGAACAGGAAUUAAAAGAAAUUAAAGAAUAUGUAAGCAGAAACUCAGCUGUAUGUAAGAAAACGCAGUUCCCCCUGAGAAAGAGAAAGUGCUGGAGUCCUUUAAAAUUAACUGCCUGUUUUUCUGUGGCUAGUGAGCCUUAUCUCUCCCUUUGCCAGGCAUCGUGAAGACCUGUUUCUCUAGCCGUGCAGCUGCAAAGUCAUAAACACAUAAACUCAAGUCGCAAAACAUGAUUUUCCUUGAGAAGUAAGAAAUGAUAUGAUGCAUGUCUCAAUUAAUUGAAUAACUGUCUUUGUUUCUCGCUUCUGUAAUAUGCUUCCCCCUGCACAGAUCUCCCUCCACCCCACGAAGUGCUUAAAAGGUAACUUAACUCUGUUCAGGGCUCAGUCCUUUGGAUGUUAAUCCGACUGGGCCGGUGCACCUAAAUAAUAAAUCUCCUCCUCAACCCGUCGCUCUCUGUGAUUCCUUAUCCAUCCUGCAACAGAGGGAGCUCUUCACCACCAGGUCCGCGAGGCUCAGAUGCCAGUCUCUGCUGGAAACACCUUCCCGACACCCCAAAAUCAAGCUCCGCCAGGUGUCCGGGUGUCCUGCAGCCAGUCCAAUGACCCCUACCUGAGCCGUCACACCCAGCUUGUCCUGCACCCUCCUAACCAUGGACUCACGGCACCAUUUCCGUUCUAUUAUGGUAGAAAUGGAAACUCCCACCAUUACUAGAGGCAA